rnacentral:rRNA from 1 species
UACGUAGGUGGCGAGCGUUGUCCGGACUUACUGGGCGUAAAGGGCGCGUAGGCGGUCAGCACAAGUCAAUCGUGAAAUCUCCGAGCUUAACUCGGAAAGGUCAACUGAAACUGUGCGACUAGAGUGCGGAAGGGGCAACUGGAAUUCUUGGUGUAGCGGUGAAAUGCGUAGAUAUCAAGAGGAACACCUGCGGCGAAGGCGGGUUGCUGGGCCGACACUGACGGCUGGAAGCGACGAAAGCCAGGGGAGCGAACGGG